AUUGAACGCUGGCGGCAUGCCUAACACAUGCAAGUCGAGCGGGCGGCGGACGGGUGAGUAAUGUAUGGGGACUGCCCGAUAGAGGGGUAUAACUACUGGAAACGGUGGCUAAUACCGCAUACUACCGUUUAACCCAUAUGGGAUUAGCUAGUAGGUGGGGUAAAGGGACACCAAGGCGACGAUCCCUAGCUGGUCUGAGAGGAUGAUCAGCCACACUGGGACUGAGACACGGCCCAGACUCCGACGGAGGCAGCAGGGGGGAAUAUUGCACAAGGGGCGAAAGCCUGAUCCAGCCAUGCCGCGUGUAUGAAGAAGGUCUUCGGGUUGUAAAGUACUUUCGGCGGGGAGGCGUUACCUGCAGAGGAAGCACCGGCUAACUCCGUGCCAGCAGCCGCGGUAAUUC
rnacentral:rRNA from 1 species